GUCUGGCGUGACCGUCUGUGUUGCGCCGGCUUGCUGUGAAGUACACGUGUGUCGAUUUCUUGAACUCUACCGAGCCUUUCUCUGCGGUUAAGGUGAAAUAAGACUGACGAGGCUAUACCUGAAGUCUGUACCCAGCUACUACGUACUCGUCAGAUGUGUUGAGACCUUAUGAGGAGAAGAAUACAGCGUCACAAUAAGGGCAUGGCGUCAGCAGUUUGAACCGGAUUUAGUUCAGAAUGGCAUAUUGAAAUGAGCACCUUGGUUGAGGAGGGCGUCUUGAAAUUGGAGACGGAGAAGUGAAGAGGAAGAUUCGCGAGGCAAAAGGCGCGAAAUCUGCUGAAAAUAGUGUUUCUGAUGAUUGGGAUCCUGAGAGGAGCGCAACAUGGAGAGACAGGAAGAAGAGACGCGAUUCUUUAUAUAAUACUUGGGAAAUAAAGCUGUAUAAUGAGGAGCGAGUGUUGGGGAGGAAUUUGUGUUGAAAAGAAGGGUGCAUUGUAUGUGUUAGGUACAUCUUUAACACUGACUUCUUUUUAAUCAAGGGUAAAACGGAAUAAAGGUGGCGAGUUAAUCAAUAUGUACUUAGGAGAAAGUAAAAGAGCAUGCGUAUAUGUAUUGAUAUUGUAUUGUGUGUAAAGGAAUAAAAAGGAGCGAUGUAUAUUUAUUUGACAAAGAGUGAGCCGUAAUCUACAAUAUUUACAUAGAUAACGUUUUGGAAGAAUCAUUUUGCAUCGUG